rnacentral:piRNA from 1 species
CAGUGAUAUGGUUCUUGAAUCUUGCA